rnacentral:ncRNA from 1 species
UGUACAAAAAGGCAAACCCGUCGAAAGGCGGAGACGCAAAGUCACCGGUCUAACGGACUUAACAGUUCUAUGACAGCGGGACCGCCGAC